AUUGAACGCUGGCGGCAUGCUUUACAUAUGCAAGUCGAACGGUAACAGGUUAAGCUGACGAGUGGCGAACGGGUGAGUAAUGCAUCGGAACGUGCCCGAUCGUGGGGGAUAACGCAGCGAAAGCUGCGCUAAUACCGCAUACGAUCUGAGGAUGAAAGCGGGGGACCGUAAGGCCUCGCGCGAUCGGAGCGGCCGAUGUCAGAUUAGGUAGUUGGUGGGGUAAAGGCCCACCAAGCCGACGAUCUGUAGCUGGUCUGAGAGGACGACCAGCCACACUGGGACUGAGACACGGCCCAGACUCCUACGGGAGGCAGCAGUGGGGAAUUUUGGACAAUGGGCGAAAGCCUGAUCCAGCAAUGCCGCGUGCAGGAAGAAGGCCUUCGGGUUGUAAACUGCUUUUGUACGGAGCGAAAAGGUCCUUCCUAAUACAAGGGGCUCAUGACGGUACCGUAAGAAUAAGCACCGGCUAACUACGUGCCAGCAGCCGCGGUAA
rnacentral:rRNA from 1 species